GGAACAGGAGAGUGAGGAACAUCUCUUACUAGACAAUGUACCAAUAAAAGACACUUCUUGUUUUGGUGAAACGAUCAAUGUAGAAUGUGAUGGUAGAGAGAUGUAUUGGAUGGAGCCUAUUCAACAUGGAGACGCUGAAACUAUGAAGCGUUCGUGUUCCUGGUGGCUUUAUUGUGAAUAUACCUACCUAGGUGGUGGAUGGUGGUGGAAAGAGUGUUGGUAUAUCUUGUUGUGUUAGAUUGGUCUACUGACAUUCACCGUGAUUGUCGAAUUUGAAGCUUGCUCAUAUUCAUAUCUAUAUAUACAAUGUUUUCUGCUUUGAUAGUAUUCUCAAUGCUGUUUCCAUGUUAGUCGAGAAGAUUCACGUGUAUGUACGAGUUUGUAUAUGCAUAGCAAUGGGUAGGUUGAUUUACUGUAGAGAAUGAUUAAGUCACUGGCAAAGAACGCCGCUGAGCACGGCUCGGACAAAAUUCGUAUACAAUAAUUUUGAAAAUUCGACAUGCUUCUAUGAAAUUUGAUGUUUAUAAUUAAUUCUUAUUACUUUUAUUAGUUAACAGAAAUUAUUUUGUUAAAUAAUUUAGAAUGCUACAUUCAUUCACGUACUGUGAAAUAUAAAUCUUUACAAAGCUAAAUUGAUGUUAGAAUUCAAAUUAGUCAAUCUGGCAAUGGUAUUGUGACAUCAACGUUCCUUCUUAUUUUGUACAUGUUCGUAGACAAUAUUUAGUCAAUUGAAUAUUUGAAUUUAAAUGAAACUGGGGACCGCUUUUUACAAAAUUAUGUUUAUGUUUAUUAGCGUUGUGCUUUUUACUGUAAACGGAUUCAUCAAUAAACUUA